rnacentral:rRNA from 1 species
AUGGCCGUCGUCAGUUCGUACUGUGAAGCAUCCUGUUAAGUCAGGCAACGAGCGAGACCCACGUCCACAGUUGCCAGCAUACCCCUCCGGGGUGAUGGGUACACUGUGGAGACCGCCGCUGCUAAAGCGGAGGAAGGAGUGGGCAACGGUAGGUCAGUAUGCCCCGAAUCUCCCGGGCUACACGCGGGCUACAAUGGUUGGUACAAUGGGCAUCUACCCCGAAAGGGGAAGGAAAUCUCUUAAAGCCAAUCGUAGUUCGGAUUGAGGGCUGCAACUCGCCCUCAUGAAGCUGGAAUCCGUAGUAAUCGCGUUUCAACAGAACGCGGUGAAUACGUCCCUGCUCCUU